rnacentral:lncRNA from 1 species
GGUGGGAGGGUGGGUAAAUUUAACGUGUUGAAUUGACCAGUACACAAUUCGAAAUGACCAGGGAAUAUUUGUAUGAAAAUUUACCUGAAGUGAACAGGUAUUUCUAUUAACCAAUCAAAAGCGAUUAAAUUACGAACGAUAAAUUUUGUACAAACAGGUAACGAGUAAUGUCGAAAGGUAACGAGUAAUGUCGAAAGCAUCCGAGAUGGAAUUAAGUAUUUUUAAUUAAUUAAAAA